CGCGACGGGUGAGUAACACGUGAAUUAUCUACCUCCGAGUGGGGAAUAACUGAGAGAAAUCUUAGCUAAUACCGCAUAACACUUACGAGUCAAAGCAGCAAUGCGCUUGGAGAGGAGUUCGCGGCCGAUUAGUUAGUUGGCGGGGUAAUGGCCCACCAAGACGAUGAUCGGUAUCCGGCCUGAGAGGGCGCACGGACACACUGGAACUGAAACACGGUCCAG
rnacentral:rRNA from 1 species